rnacentral:rRNA from 1 species
UACGAAGGGGGCUAGCGUUGUUCGGAAUUACUGGGCGUAAAGCGCACGUAGGCGGCUUUUUAAGUCAGGGGUGAAAUCCUGGAGCUCAACUCCAGAACUGCCUUUGAUACUGGGAAGCUUGAGUCCGGAAGAGGUGAGUGGAACUCCGAGUGUAGAGGUGAAAUUCGUAGAUAUUCGGAAGAACACCAGUGGCGAAGGCGACUUACUGGACACAUAUUGACGCUGAGGUGCGAAAGCGUGGGGAGCAAACAGG